UACGUAGGGGGCGAGCGUUGUCCGGAUUCAUUGGGCGUAAAGAGCUCGUAGGCGGUUUGGCAAGUCGGGUGUGAAAUCUCUGGGCUCAACUCAGAGAGGCCACUCGAUACUGCUAUGACUAGAGUCCGGUAGGGGACCAUGGAAUUCCUGGUGUAGCGGUGAAAUGCGCAGAUAUCAGGAGGAACACCGGUGGCGAAGGCGGGUCUCUGGGCAACAACUGACGCUGAGGAGCGAAAGCGUGGGGAGCGAACAGG
rnacentral:rRNA from 1 species